rnacentral:misc_RNA from 1 species
UAGAGUCGUGAACUCCCUCAAACCCCCUGUGAACACACCUGAAGUUGCUUCGGCGGGAUCGCCCCGGGCCUCUGCCGCCCGGAGCAAGGCGCCCGCCGAGGGACCCGAACUCUGUCUUGGCGGAUGUCUUUCUGAGUGGCUUGAUGCAAAUCAGUCA